GAAUCAGUCACCACAUGGAACACGUGCCGCCACGGCUCAUCCGCAUUCCGGAUAGCCGAAUUGAUGACGACGGAGACGGCGAUGACGUUAUCGGAGAAGAUAGCGAAGUGAUAGAGGUCGGAGUCGUCGGGUGUGAGAUCGAGAGCAGCGUUGGGGUAGAGCUCGGGGUGGGCGAUGUGGUCCUCCAUCAGGCGCAUAGCGAGGCAGUGGAGGGACUUCGGCGUGGAUCCGGCGGCGAUGCGGGAGGAGACGGUGCCGAGCUUGCGGGCCCGGGAGAGCUGCUCGCGGGCGGCGAAGAUUGUGUCGCGGAGUUUCUGGAUCUUGAGCUGGGUGUCGAAUGACUCUUUAGAUUCGGAGAUGAUUUGCCGGGCGAGCUUGAUGCGGUCCUUGGCUUCCUUUUCGAGGGGGCGGAGGGCGUCUUCGUCGGGAAUGGGGGUGGCGAGGUGGGCGGCGGUGUCGGAGAGGGAGGCGGCGAGGGUUUCGAAGACGUGGAGCUGGUGGGAGGAGGAGAGCUUGAGGCGGCGGGCGUAGGCGGCGUAGGCGUGGACGAGGGCGAGAUGAUCGGAGGCUUGGUGGUAGAUGAGGUCGAGGCGGGUGCGGAGGGGGGAGGAGUUAAGAGCGAGGAAGGUACGGCGGAGGGCGAGGGCGGGGGCGGGGGAAGAUCCGCCGGAGGCGGCGGAGGUGAGAAGGACGGUGAGGAGGGCGAGGAGGAGGAGGGCGGUGACGGUUGAG
rnacentral:misc_RNA from 1 species